rnacentral:lncRNA from 12 species
AUGUGCUGGGAGAUGGGGAGAAACAGACAAGUUAUAAUACUGACAUCUAUCUCCAUGGGAGGUGUUGACAUUUUGCUGAAACCUUCCAAGACGGGAACUCCUGCUGUGGAUAGGAGAUGCCAUUUCAUUGAAAAUGAGAAAUCAGAAGUCAAAUAUACUGUAAGCAAAGUUCUUACCAGCUUUAUUAACCUGUAGUCAUUUUAACUGACUAAAUUCUUAAGAUGACAGAUAUGUAAUUAUAUUUCAUAGGUUAAAAAGUAGAUGGAAUCCUGGCGGGAAUUAUUUAGAUUCAUUUUCAUAAGCCAGGGUUGUUACAGGAAGCGAUCACAAAAGAUGGUAUUUUUUCCUAAGCUUGAAAUGUAAUGGAAAUCAUCUCAAACGCUUCAUACAGCACCUAACCUACACCCGACGACAAUAGUAAAUCUGGCUAGUGGUAUAACCUGUUUCUCCAGUGUGUGUGCCCAUAUGCUCACGGUAUCUGCAGUUUUGGCGGGGGGGGGACAAAAGUGAAAGUGUAGACCAGACGGGAAUGAACUAAACAUGAGAAAAGGUGACCGUAACUGGGAAUUGGAAAAAUUGGAAAGCCUUAUCAGAGUCCACCUGUUUGAAUUAAUUCUGUUUUGUGUAUGUACAUGUGCGUCUAUAUAUCAAAAUCAUAAAAUUUCUGAUGUUGAGUCUUAAGAACUACACUAGUCUUUUGCAUCUUACUUGGCAAUAGUAAGCACUUAGAGUAUUAGACAAUCAUGUUUGCAGCAAUCCAUUACAGCAUACCAAAUUACCCCAGAAUCUAGCAGCUUAAAUCAACAAACUUUCAUUAUCUCACAGUUUCCGGGGUCAGAAAUCUAUGCACUUAGCUGUGCACCUCUGACACCGAGAGUCUCAGAUGGCUGCAGCCAAAUGAUGGGCUAAGGCUGUAAGUAUCCCAGUAGGGGAGUCUCCAAGCUGACUCACAUGGCUGUUGGCGGGUCUCAGGUCUUGCUGUUUGGUGAUGGGAGACCUCCAUUGUUUGCCAGGAAGGCCUCAGCAUAGGGCUACUCACAACAUUGAAGCUUGUUUCCUCCAAAGUAAGGUAGAUGUGUGUGUGAGAGAGGCACAGGGCGACAGAAACUGAAGUCACUCUUUUUGUAAUCUAAUCUUGGAAAUGACAUGUAACCAAUUUUGUAGCACUAUUUGUUAGAAGCAAAUCACUAGGUCUAGUAUACAUUCAAAGGGAAGCCACUACACAAGAACUUAAAUACCGCGAGGUGAGGAUCAUUGGGAGCCAUCUCAGAAGCCUAACACAAUGAUGUUCAAAGUUUGUUGGUCACCCGUCUAUCAUGAAUUUUUCCCUGUGCAGCUUUAGAGGAGGCUCCAGCCAACCACCAAGUUAUGUCACUGCUUGUUCUUACUUCCCUUCUCUCCCCUCUUUUUUUUAGAUUCUAUCCAUUCCUAAAGUUUAUGGUAAAAUUAGUGGUCAUCAAAGUGAGAAUUCAAAGAGCUACAAAGGUAUUUUUACAAUGUCAGCUUCCCAUGUUCUCUUUCCUAAAAUAACCGUGCCUUAGAUUUUCCUGUGGGUCACAAUGGCACUUUCCCUUUAUGAAAGAAGGAUGACCCUCUGUCCUCUAUUUUGUUGAACCCCAAUCUUGCUACGUGGCAUUUCUCCUGUGUCAACCUCUGGGAUGCCAAUAAAUGGUAAAUAUUUUUUUUAGUGGUUAAUUAA